rnacentral:rRNA from 1 species
AGUGAACGCUGGCGGUAGGCCUAACACAUGCAAGUCGAACGGCAGCACAGUAAGAGCUUGCUCUUACGGGUGGCGAGUGGCGGACGGGUGAGGAAUACAUCGGAAUCUACUUUUUCGUGGGGGAUAACGUAGGGAAACUUACGCUAAUACCGCAUACGACCUACGGGUGAAAGCAGGGGAUCUUCGGACCUUGCGCGAUUGAAUGAGCCGAUGUCGGAUUAGCUAGUUGGCGGGGUAAAGGCCCACCAAGGCGACGAUCCGUAGCUGGUCUGAGAGGAUGAUCAGCCACACUGGAACUGAGACACGGUCCAGACUCCUACGGGAGGCAGCAGUGGGGAAUAUUGGACAAUGGGCGCAAGCCUGAUCCAGCCAUACCGCGUGGGUGAAGAAGGCCUUCGGGCUGUAAAGCCCUUUUGUUGGGAAAGAAAAGCAGCAGGUUAAUACCCCGCCGUUCUGACGGUACCCAAAGAAUAAGCACCGGCUAACUUCGUG